AAGGGCACCACAAGAACGCGUGGAGCAUGUGGCUUAAUUUGACUCAACGCGGGAAAUCUUACCGGGUCCGGACACACUGAGGAUUGACAGGAAUUAUUAGCAAUUAAAUUUGUUUUUUUGCUAUGUUAAAUAUGCUAGUCCUUUCAUGAUUAUGUGAUAGGUGGUGCAUGGCCGUUCUUAGUUCGUGGAGUGAUCUGUCUGCUUAAUUGCGUUUCACUAAGGGCUCAUAUUUCAAUGUAUGUUUCAAUAUGUACAAAAAUGAAAUAAUGUGUGUUGCGUUCAUUUUUCUUAUACGGCAUAUUGAAUUUAUUCAUAUGCACAGAAUAAUGAUUUAAAAUGCUCACACAAUUGGGCUCUGAAAGCAACGAACGUGACCGCAACCUCUUGUUGCCCGCACAACAAAAUUACAUACAAACAUAAAUAAUUUAUUUUAUUUGUGUGUGUGUGAUAUAUAAGCGGGCUUUUAAACUAGAGGGACCGCUGUAAUCUUUUUAAACCAGAGGAAGGUUGCGGCAAUAACAGGUCUGUGAUGCCCUUAGAUGUUCCGGGCUGCACACGUGCUACAAUGAUUAUUGCAGUGAGCAUCUCAUAUAAACAAAGAUAUUUAUCAAAUAUCUUAUACGCUGCUUGUAACGAUUCAUAAUAAUAAUUUAUUUUAUUAUUAUUGAGUUUGUUACGCAGUAAAAGCCUGCUUCGAAAGUAAGUGGGUAAUCAAUUAGAAGUAAUGAUUUCCUCAAUAAAUAAACGCGAUCAUAAAUUUAUUUGUGUUUGAAUAUAUUUUAAUAGCACAACAGAAUGCGGCACUAUUUUCCGUUAUAAAUUUUAUAAUUUAUUUUGUGCAUUAUAGUGUGAGCGUAAUAAAUUAUUUAUUCGUUCAUUUCGCAUGUGCAAUUGUUAAUUCAUGGUGGGGACAGACCAUUGUUAAUUGUUGGUCUCGGUCUUAACUAGGAAUGCCUUGUACGGGUCUUUGGUUCAACAAACCACCCGGAAUACGUCCCUGCCCUUUGUACACACCGCCCGUCGCUCUUACCGAUGGACUUCUCUGUGAGUUUGAGGGACUCAUUCAUUCAUUCAUAAAAAGGAAACUUAAACGAACAGUGUGGUCUAAAGGAAAGAGAAGUCGAACAAGGCA
rnacentral:rRNA from 1 species